UACGUAUGGUGCAAGCGUUAUCCGGAUUUACUGGGUGUAAAGGGAGUGUAGGUGGCAUGGCAAGUCAGAAGUGAAAGCCCAGGGCUCAACCCUGGGACUGCUUUUGAAACUGCCGAGCUAGAGUGCAGGAGAGGUAAGUGGAAUUCCUAGUGUAGCGGUGAAAUGCGUAGAUAUUAGGAGGAACACCAGCGGCGAAGGCGGCUUACUGGACUGUAACUGACACUGAGGCUCGAAAGCGUGGGGAGCAAACAGGAUUAGAUACC
rnacentral:rRNA from 1 species